AAUAGAUACCCGGGUAGUCCACGCCGUAAACGAUGAGUGCUAAGUGUUAGAGGGUUUCCGCCCUUUAGUGCUGCAGCUAACGCAUUAAGCACUCCGCCUGGGGAGUACGGCCGCAAGGCUGAAACUCAAAGGAAUUGACGGGGGGCCCGCACAAGCGGUGGAGCAUGUGGUUUAAUUCGAAGCAACGCGAAGAACCUUACCAGGUCUUGACAUCCUCUGCUAACCCUAGAGAUAGGGCGUUCCCCCUUCGGGGGACAGAGUGACAGGUGGUGCAUGGUUGUCGUCAGCUCGUGUCGUGAGAUGUUGGGUUAAGUCCCGCAACGAGCGCAACCCUUGAUCUUAGUUGCCCAGCAUUUAGUUGGGCACUCUAAGGUGACUGCCGGUGACAAACCGGAGGAAGGUGGGGAUGACGUCAAAUCAUCAUGCCCCUUAUGACCGUGGGCUACACACGUGCUACAUGGAUGGUACAAGAGCUGCGAACCCGCGAGGGUAAGCCGAAUCUCAUAAAGCCAUUCUCAGUUCGGA
rnacentral:rRNA from 1 species